GACGAACGCUGGCGGCGUGCUUAACACAUGCAAGUCGAACGGAAAGGCCCUGCUUUUGUGGGGUGCUCGAGUGGCGAAAGGGUGAGUAACACGUGAGUAACCUGCCCUUGACUUUGGGAUAACUUCAGGAAACUGGGGCUCAUACCGGAUAGGAGCUCCUGCUGCAUGGUGGGGGUUGGAAAGUUUCGGCGGUUGGGGAUGGACUCGCGGCUUAUCAGCUUGUUGGUGGGGUAGUGGCUUACCAAGGCUUUGACGGGUAGCCGGCCUGGGAGGGUGACCGGCCACAGUGGGACUGAGAUACGGCCCAGACUCCUACGGGAGGCAGCAGUGGGGAAUAUUGCACAAUGGGCGGAAGCCGGAUGCAGCAACGCCGCGUGCGGGAUGACGGCCGUCGGGUUGUAAACCGCUUGCGCCUGUGACGAAGCGUGAGUGACGGUAAUGGGUAAAGAAGCACCGGCUAACUACGUG
rnacentral:rRNA from 1 species